AGUUAAAAAACUUUAAAGAAAGUGUAUGUCUUGAAAUCAUAAAAAAGGAGUUCAAUUCUCCUAUUAACUU
rnacentral:tRNA from 1 species